GGCCAAAUCUAGAGCGCCCCAGAAGUGACAAAAAGGAAACUUUUUUGUUUGCCUGCCAUCGUGCGGACUGAGUCAAGGAGGAAUUUUAGCAACAUGUAAUUUACUCUUGGGCCUUUUUACUGUACGUAGCUUUAGAGAUGGUAAUUUCUCCCUUUCUCGGUGUGAAAAGAUAACCAUCAAUCAGUUGUCAAUUGGUCAAUUGCAGAGGUGAUGAAAAGGAAGGGGUUGAACAAUCCCCUCUCUCUGGCUACCUAGAGUAUUCAGGAGCCUUGGGAAAACGUGGCAGCUGGAGCAGAGCAGGGAGAGGAUCAGUCACACAGGUACAGCAGCCAUGGGGUAGCGAGCAAAACACCAGCGUUCAGCGACCAGCUUGAGCGGUGGUACGCUGAAGUAAGAGCACUGGCUUUUGGAAAAAUCUGCGGACUACCGGGCGAGCAAAGAGAGAGAGACAGCCUACCGCUGUGUCGGUCGAGCAGAGAGCGGGAUCUCCGGCGGCUGAAGUGUGGUUCUUGAAUCGGCCAGAUACUGUUCCAUCCUCUUUUCUGCCAAUCAAGCAAAGAUGAGGACAACACCCAAACUGGCACGUAAGUAGCAUUACAGUCAAGAGUGGUUCGGGGACAGUGAAAAGCAGGCUGCGCCUAUAUGCAGUGCACUGCAGUGUGAUAGAGUAUCGCGUUAUGAGCUUCAGUGGUUCGUAGGUUAUUUUCCCAUUGGGUACUCGGACAUCAUUUAAAACUUGCUCAACACUCGCAAACAUUAGAUUUCAAGUAGAUUUAUAUUAUAAAUAUCCAUCAUGUACGUGUUUAGUGGUUUGUUUUGUUUUUGUAAUGGCUUUGUUUGUUUUGUUUGACUACUGUUUGAGAUUUGUCCCAUUAUGUAUUUUUUUUUUAAACAUUUUGUUACACAAUUCUCCUAAUGUUCAGCCUAAUUCAGCCUAAUGUUUGACCUUUAAAAACUGUUCUUAAUAAUUUUUCAAGAUGUAUUGAUUUGGCCUUGAUCUAGGCUACUUGAGAGUAGGCUGUCAAUCAUAAAUAUUGAAACAUCACACUUGUCAAAUGAUUGUUCCAAAGUAAAUGUUUAAUAUGUAUUAAUCCAUUUCUGAGUUUAUACUGAUUUAUAGUUUGAAGUUAAAGAGCAAUAUAGUAAAUUAGAGAACAGAAAUGUUUGUGGGUAGAGUUAAGUUAGUAUAACUAUAUUACGUUUAAAAUUGCACUCUUUAACCAUCCACUCUCCCUUUUCCUUGGGUAUUUCAUAGGCUACAUGUAUUGAGUGCUUAUAAAUUAAUAUUUUCUUUGGUGCAGGCCUACUGCUCUCCAAUCACUAGCACGACACCUAGUGGACAAUAAUAUAACAUUUAGAGAUUCAUCAUGGUUAUUUUCUGUCAUUUUUCUUACCAUGAAGUCUCUCUCUAUCUCUGUCUCUCUGAGAAAAGGAAGGAUCUGUUUAAAAAGUACAUCCAUUAAUUAAAUAAACAUAUUACAUCCAAUUAGUAAUAUCAGUGCUGGUUAUGUUGGAUUAUAUUCAGUAAAUAUGGAUAUUUUAGGACUUUAGUGUGAUUAAAGAUAUAAUGAGUUAGGCUAUAGGCAAUAGGGUUAUUAUGGGAUAUAUAUUGAGGCAGGCCUAAGGGUUAUUAUGGGAGGUAUAUUGAGUUAGGCUAUAGGCCUAAGGGUUAUUAUUGCAGACAUGGUUUUAUAUCGGGUCAGAUGUACAUUUUGAAAGGGAGAAAAAGAUGAUUACAUUUUCCAGAAGGGUGGGCUAUAGGCUUUUAAAAACAAUAUUUAACAGAUUCCCUCUAGGAUAUUUUCACACUCAUUAUGUUUAGAGUUGAUAGGAAUGGGCCUGCAUUUAAUGAGAAACAAUGUGUUUUUAUUAAAAAGUUAAUUUGCUAUGAAUUACAGUGUUUUUCUUUCUAGUUUGUACAUGAAUAAAAUAGCCUAUAAAUGUGUUAUUAUUGAUUUUGCUCAGUCGAUUUUGCUCAAUUUUGCUCAUAUUUUU
ensembl:lncRNA